rnacentral:rRNA from 1 species
CCUACGGGUGGCAGCAGUGAGGAAUAUUGGUCAAUGGACGCAAGUCUGAACCAGCCAUGCCGCGUGCAGGAAGACGGCUCUAUGAGUUGUAAACUGCUUUUGUACGAGGGUAAACGCAGAUACGCGUAUCUGUUUGAAAGUAGCUUACGAAUAAGGAUCGGCUAACUCCGUGCCAGCAGCCGCGGUAAUACGGAGGAUUCAAGCGUUAUCCGGAUUUAUUGGGGUUAAAGGGUGCGUAGGCGGGCGGUUAAGUUAGAGGUGAAAUCCCGAGGCUCAACUUCGGAAUUGCCUUUGAUACUGGUCGGCUAGAGUGUAGUUGAGGUAGGCGGAAUGCAUGGUGUAGCGGUGAAAUGCAUAGAGAUCAUACAGAACACCGAUUGCGAAGGCAGCUUACCAAGCUACUUCUGACGUUGAGGCACGAAAGCGUGGGGAGCGAACAGGAUUAGAUACCCUAGUAGUC